rnacentral:rRNA from 1 species
GACGAACGCUGGCGGCGUGCUUAACACAUGCAAGUCGAACGGAAAGGCCCCUUUGGGGGUACUCGAGUGGCGAACGGGUGAGUAACACGUGAGUAACCUGCCCUUGACUUCGGGAUAACUUCAGGAAACUGGGGCUAAUACCGGAUAGGAAUCCUUGCUGCAUGGUGGGGGUUGGAAAGCUUCGGCGGUUUUGGAUGGACUCGCUGCUUAUCAGCUUGUUGGUGGGGUAGUGGCUUACCAAGGCUUUGACGGGUAGCCGGCCUGAGAGGGCGACCGGCCACAUUGGGACUGAGAUACGGCCCAGACUCCUACGGGAGGCAGCAGUGGGGAAUAUUGCACAAUGGGCGGAAGCCUGAUGCAGCAACGCCGCGUGCGGGAUGACGGCCUUCGGGUUGUAAACCGCUUUCAGCAGGGGCGAAGCUUGUGGUGACGGUACCUGCAGAAGAAGCACCGGCUAACUACGUG